rnacentral:lncRNA from 1 species
AUGGGUGGUUUGAUUCUUGUAAAAAGAAAAACGCUGUGGCGGCAGAGGAAAAUGACACGGCCGGCUUCCCACAAUGUACCACGAUGUUGCAUGGAGACAGACCAUGCUACCCAAGGGCGCUGGGAAAUUCAAGGCAGUCCGCGACACCAGAGGACUUCCGGCGGUUUAAACAGGCAUAAAAUUCGGCAAAGCCUUGGGAGGGAUCGUCGCCUUCUUCCCUGGAACCUGGGGAAGCCGUGGUGGCAGCAGACCCAUUUCCGCGAGGCACCCUCCCCGGAAGCGCCUCCCCAGCCAGCCGAUCCCGGCGUCUCGCUGAUGUAAACAUAAAGCGGAAGCCACGCAGGGGUGUGCAGCACGGAUGCACCUGUUCCGUGCUUUAAAACUUUCCCAGCGCCGUUCGGCGAGCACUCAGUCCUGCCCGGACACAGACGCCAUUUCGUUUCCCCGUUAGACACAGGGCGUCCAGGAUACGACGGCCACCAAGCAAAAUCCCGAUCGUUCUCUGCGUGAAGAGUCUCGCUUCGCAAGAAUUCAGAACACCUUGACCAUCACGUGACCUUGCAGCUUCUGUGGGACUUGACCCCCCCACGUGGCACCACUCUUACCCAUCACCUAUCCGUCCAUCUCCAUCCACACUUGUCCACAGCAGUCCUGCAGGAGCUCGGGGCUGUUGAGAUGCGUUCCCAGGUGACAGCGAGGUGUGGGGUGAGGAAGGACACGCAGAAAUACCCUGACCCACAGAAAAGGGAGCGGUACUCUCUGCCUCCAGUCUAAGAAUAGUAGUUGGGCGAGUUUUACAUGCCAUAAAUUCCUAAGUCCGUCCUACUGUUGUGGGUUGUAUUACCCAGAAUCUAACCAAAACCAAAGUCAAUUCUAACGGUCUCCCUUGUCACAUGUAUUUAUUUAUUUUAAUGUUUCUUUUUUUUUUUUUAAGUUUAUUUAUUUUUGGGACAGAGAGAGACAGAGCAUGAAUGGGGGAGGGGCAGAGAGAGCAGGAGACACAGGAUCCGAAGCAGGCUCCGGGCUCCGAGCCGUCAGCACAGAGCCCGACGUGGGGCUCGAACCCACGAACCGUGACAUCAUGACUUGAGCCGAAGUUGGAUGCUUAUCUGUCUGAUCUCACAUUUGAAAAUGGCCAGGGGCCCCGGGGUGGCUCAGUUGGUUAAGCGUCUGACUCUAGAUUUCGGCUCAGGUCAUGAUCUCACAGUUCGCGAGGGGGAGCCCCGCCGGAGCUCUGUGCCGCCAGCAUGGAAGCCGAGUGGGACCUCUCUCCCCUUCUCUCCGCCCCUCCCCACUCGCUCUCUCCCGCAAAAUAAAUAAAUAGAACUUGAAAAAAAUACA